UACGAAGGGGGCUAGCGUUGUUCGGAAUUACUGGGCGUAAAGCGCGCGCAGGCGGUCUUCCAAGUCAGUGGUGAAAGCCUGGAGCUCAACUCCAGAACUGCCAUUGAAACUGUUAGACUUGAGUACGAGAGAGGUGAGUGGAAUUCCCAGUGUAGAGGUGAAAUUCGUAGAUAUUGGGAAGAACACCGGUGGCGAAGGCGGCUCACUGGCUCAUAUCUGACGCUCAGGCGCGACAGCGUGGGGAUCAAACAGG
rnacentral:rRNA from 1 species